CCGGGCCUGGCGGGCUGCCUUAACAUGCAGUCGGACGGCAGCAUGGUGGUGGGAAACCAUCACUGAUGGCGAGUGGCGAACGGGUGAGUAAGAUAUCGGAACGUACCCGGGAGUGGGGGAUAACGCAGCGAAAGUUGCGCUAAUACCGCAUAAGACCUUAGGGGGAAAGUGGGGGAUCGCAAGACCUCACGCUGCCGGAGCGGCCGAUAACUGAUUAGCUUGUUGGUGAGGUAAAGGCUCACCAAGGCAUUGAUCAGUAGCUGGUCUGAGAGGACGACCAGCCACACUGGAACUGAGACACGGUCCAGACUCCUACGGGAGGCAGCAGUGGGGAAUUUUGGACAAUGGGGGCAACCCUGAUCCAGCAAUGCCGCGUGAGUGAAGAAGGCCUUCGGGUUGUAAAGCUCUUUUGCCGGGGAAGAAAAGGUGAUUAAUAAAACGGAUCACAGAUGACGGUACCCGGAGAAUAAGCACCGGCUAACUACGUGCCAGCAGCCGCGGUAAUACGUAGGGUGCAAGCGUUAAUCGGAAUUACUGGGCGUAAAGCGUGCGCAGGCGGUUUUUUAAGUCAGCUGUGAAAUCCCCGGGCUUAACCUGGGAAUGGCAGUUGAGACUGGAAGGCUGGAGUGUGUCAGAGGGGGGUAGAAUUCCACGUGUAGCAGUGAAAUGCGUAGAGAUGUGGAGGAAUACCGAUGGCGAAGGCAGCCCCCUGGGAUAACACUGACGCUCAUGCACGAAAGCGUGGGGAGCAAACAGGAUUAGAUACCCUGGUUAGUCCACGCCCUAAACGAUGUCAACUGGUUGUCGGGGGUUUACUAAUUUCGGGUAACGCAGCUAACGCGUGAAGUUUGACCGCCUGGGGGAGUACGGUCGCAAGAUUAAAACUUAAAGGAAUUGACGGGGACCCGCACAAGCGGGUGGAUGAUGUGGAUUAAUUCGAUGCAACGCGAAAAACCUUACCUGGCCUUU
rnacentral:rRNA from 1 species